rnacentral:rRNA from 1 species
CUACGGGGGGCUGCAGUAAGGAAUAUUGCGCAAUGGAGGCAACUCUGACGCAGCCAUGCCGCGUGCAGGAAGAAGGCCUUAUGGGUCGUAAACUGCUUUUAUUUAGGAAUAAACCCCCGAACGUGUUCGGGGCUGAAGGUACUAAACGAAUAAGCACCGGCUAACUCCGUGCCAGCAGCCGCGGUAAUACGGAGGGUGCAAGCGUUAUCCGGAUUUAUUGGGUUUAAAGGGUGCGCAGGCGGGCUAUUAAGUCAGUGGUGAAAUCCCGGGGCUCAACUCCGGAACUGCUAUUGAUACUGAUAGUCUUGAGUUUGGUUGAAGUGGGCGGAAUGUAGCAUGUAGCGGUGAAAUGCAUAGAUAUGCUACAGAACACCAAUCGCGAAGGCAGCUCACUAAGCCAAAACUGACGCUCAUGCACGAAAGCGUGGGGAUCAAACAGGAUUAGAUACCCUUGUAGUC